GACGAACUGUCCUAACGUUGUUCGGAAUUACUGGGCGUAAAGGGCGCGUAGGCGGCCUGCUAAGUCGAACGUGAAAUCCCUGGGCUCAACCCAGGAACUGCGUCCGAUACUGGUUGGCUUGAAUCCGGGAGAGGGAUGUGGAAUUCCAGGUGUAGCGGUGAAAUGCGUAGAUAUCUGGAGGAACACCGGUGGCGAAGGCGACAUCCUGGACCGGUAUUGACGCUGAGGCGCGAAAGCCAGGGGAGCAAACGGG
rnacentral:rRNA from 1 species